rnacentral:rRNA from 1 species
AUUGCACGCUGGCGGCAGGCCUAACACAUGCAAGUCGAGCGGAUGAAGGGAGCUUGCUCCUGGAUUCAGCGGCGGACGGGUGAGUAAUGCCUAGGAAUCUGCCUGGUAGUGGGGGAUAACGUCCGGAAACGGGCGCUAAUACCGCAUACGUCCUGAGGGAGAAAGUGGGGGAUCUUCGGACCUCACGCUAUCAGAUGAGCCUAGGUCGGAUUAGCUAGUUGGUGGGGUAAAGGCCUACCAAGGCGACGAUCCGUAACUGGUCUGAGAGGACGAUCAGUCACACUGGAACUGAGACACGGUCCAGACUCCUACGGGAGGCAGCAGUGGGGAAUAUUGGACAAUGGGCGAAAGCCUGAUCCAGCCAUGCCGCGUGUGUGAAGAAGGUCUUCGGAUUGUAAAGCACUUUAAGUUGGGAGGAAGGGCAGUAAGUUAAUACCUUGCUGUUUUGACGUUACCAACAGAAUAAGCACCGGCUAACUUCGUG